rnacentral:rRNA from 1 species
GUAGUCAUAUGCUUGUCUCAAAGAUUAAGCCAUGCAUGUCUAAGUAUAAGCAAUUAUACCGUGAAACUGCGAAUGGCUCAUUAAAUCAGUUAUCGUUUAUUUGAUAGUACCUUACUACUUGGAUAACCGUGGUAAUUCUAGAGCUAAUACAUGCUGAAAACCCCAACUUCGGGAGGGGUGUAUUUAUUAGAUAAAAAACCAACGCCCUUCGGGGCUCCUUGGUGAUUCAUGAUAACUUCACGGAUCGCAUGGCCUUGUGCUGGCGACGGUCCACUCGAUUUUCUGCCCUAUCAUGGUUGAGAUUGUAAGAUAGAGGCUUACAAUGCCUACAACGGGUAACGGGGAAU